UUGAUGAUGAUGAUUAUGUGAUGCAAACUUUAAACUUUAAUGGAAUUUAUUUAAGCGUAACGUUUACGUUUGACGUUUCUCACACGCAUACACCACAUGUAAUGCCCCAUUCUACCACGCCACCUACAUAUAUUAUAUAUAUACAUCUCUAUAUAUAUUAUAUAUUAUACAUAUAUACAUUUGUCUACGGAACGUAUUAAGUUUAAUUUUCAAGUGUCGCAUAUGCGAGCGGGCGAAGUGGAUGAUUGCGGGGGGGUCGAAUGAUGGACGAUGAUGAUGAUGAUGAUGUGUUGAAUUUCUAUGACAAAUUUUGUGAGCGUGCGCCUUCGCGGGCCGCGUGUCUAGCAUUCGUAUGUACACUUCGGCUUUGCGUCGCCUGGCGAUAACUGUUUCAGUUGAUUCGAUGUUAACACACAUUAACGAGUCGCGAUGAUGCUGCGAAUGAAUUGGAAUGAUUGUGUGUGGAGAGCAGAUGAGGAAAAAAACACUAUCAUAUACUGCCAGUAGGUUAUAUUAGCAGUUUUAUCAUCAUUAUCAUAAUAUUUAUGGUGGAAUAACAAUUACUUUGUAUUACGUUAGGAUGUUUUUUAGUUAAUGUCCAAUAAAUAUUAAGUUUUUUACUUAGAAAA